CCUACGGGUGGCAGCAGUGGGGAAUAUUGCACAAUGGGGGAAACCCUGAUGCAGCGACGCCGCGUGAGUGAAGAAGUAUUUCGGUAUGGAAAGCCCUAGCAGCAGGGAAGAAAAUGACGGUACCUUAUUAAGAAGCCCCGGCUAACUACGUGCCAGCAGCCGCGGUAAUUCGGUGGGGGCAAGCGUUAGUCGGGUUUACUGGGUGUAAAGGGAGCGUAGGCGGGAGAACAAGUUUGGGGGGAAAUGCUAGGGCUUAACCCCGGAACUGCAUUGGAAACUGUGGAGCUUGAGUGCAGGAGAGGUAAGUGGAAUGCCUAGUGUAGCGGUGAAAUGCGUAGAGAUUAGGAGGAACACCAGUGGCGAAGGCGGCUUGCUGGACUGUAACUGACGUUGAGGCUCGAAAGCGUGGGGAGCAAACAGGAUUAGAUACCCCUGUAGUA
rnacentral:rRNA from 1 species